rnacentral:rRNA from 1 species
AUUGAACGCUGGCGGCAGGCCUAUCACAUGCGAGUCGAGCGGAUGAAGGGAGCUUGCUCCUGGAUUCAGCGGCGGACGGGUGAGUAAUGCCUAGGAAUCUGCCUGGUAGUGGGGGAUAACGUCCGGAAACGGGCGCUAAUACCGCAUACGUCCUGAGGGAGAAAGUGGGGGAUCUUCGGACCUCACGCUAUCAGAUGAGCCUAGGUCGGAUUAGCUAGUUGGUGGGGUAAAGGCCUACCAAGGCGACGAUCCGUAACUGGUCUGAGAGGAUGAUCAGUCACACUGGAACUGAGACACGGUCCAGACUCCUACGGGAGGCAGCAGUGGGGAAUAUUGGACAAUGGGCGAAAGCCUGAUCCAGCCAUGCCGCGUGUGUGAAGAAGGUCUUCGGAUUGUAAAGCACUUUAAGUUGGGAGGAAGGGCAGUAAGUUAAUACCUUGCUGUUUUGACGUUACCAACAGAAUAAGCACCGGCUAACUUCGUG